rnacentral:rRNA from 1 species
CGCUGGCGGCGUGCCUGACACAUGCAAGUCGAACGAGGCCGCAAGGCCUAGUGGCGGACGGGUGAGUAACACGUGACCAACCAACCUCGAAGUUGGGAAUAGCUCUGCGAAAGCAGGGGUAAUACCGAAUGUGGCCCGAAGCGGACAUCCGCAUCGGUCUAAAGAUUUAUCGCUUCGAGACGGGGUCGCGGCCUAUUAGCUUGUUGGUGGGGUAACGGCCUACCAAGGCGAUGAUGGGUAGCUGGUCUGAGAGGACGACCAGCCACACUGGGACUGAGACACGGCCCAGACUCCUACGGGAGGCAGCAGUGAGGAAUUUUCCGCAAUGGGCGAAAGCCUGACGGAGCAACGCCGCGUGUGGGAUGAAGACUCUAGGGUUGUAAACCACUGUCGGAGGGGACGAUCGUGACGGUACCCUCCAAGAAAGCCCCGGCUAACUACGUGCCAGCAGCCGCGGUAAUACGUAGGGGGCGAGCGUUAUCCGGAUUUACUGGGCGUAAAGCGCGUUAAGGCGGAUGGUCAAGUUGGCGGUGAAAUUUCGGGGCUCAACCCCGAAACUGCCGCCAAAACUGGUCGUCUAGAGUAUGGGAGAGGAAGGUGGAAUUCCGGGUGUAGUAGUGAAAUGCGUAGAUAUCCGGAGGAACACCAGCGGCGAAGGCGGCCUUCUGGCCCAUAACUGACGCUGUAGCGCGAAAGCGUGGGGAGCGAACGGGAUUAGAUACCCCGGUAGUCCACGCCCUAAACUUUGUGCACUAGGUGUUGGGUGUAUUG